CCUACGGGAGGCAGCAGUAGGGAAUAUUGCUCAAUGGGGGAAACCCUGAAGCAGCAACGCCGCGUGGAGGAUGAAGGUUUUCGGAUUGUAAACUCCUUUUGUUAGAGAAGAUAAUGACGGUAUCUAACGAAUAAGCACCGGCUAACUCCGUGCCAGCAGCCGCGGUAAUACGGAGGGUGCAAGCGUUACUCGGAAUCACUGGGCGUAAAGAGCGCGUAGGCGGGAUAGCAAGUCAGAUGUGAAAUCCUAUGGCUUAACCAUAGAACUGCAUUUGAAACUGUUAUUCUAGAGUAUGGGAGAGGUAGGCGGAAUUCUUGGUGUAGGGGUAAAAUGCGUAGAGAUCAAGAGGAAUACUCAUUGCGAAGGCGACCUGCUAGAACAUAACUGACGCUGAUGCGCGAAAGCGUGGGGAGCAAACAGGAUUAGAUACCCCGGUAGUC
rnacentral:rRNA from 1 species